AAAUUGCAUUCAUUUCUUUCAUAUCAAAUAAAUGAUGUGCCAUGUGAUUUCGCUCAGGUCAUUUUUAUAAAUUUCUCAGAUUCUGUCGACACACUUUAGCAAAAUUUAAUUAUAUCCAAUUUGAUUCGAUUGCCGUUUUGCUGGAAGUUUUGGUUUCUUACAAAUUUGUUCUAGUGAGAGUAUAUUAUUAUAAUAUUAGUCCAUCCACCGCGUGAGGAAAAAUUCUGUUGCGCUGUUUCACAAUGUUUUGGCCUCCCUGAGAUAGCUUGUCCCAGUUGUACAAGUAACUUCCAACAUUUCAAAGCUUUUGAAAUUUUCAUUUGCUUCCAAGUACUUAUCAUCAAUUUCUCUUUUUUUUUUACUUUAUUUUUUUUUUUAAAUUUGACAAAGAUUAUUGUUGAUAAGGAAAGUAAAUCAUAACCCAUUAUAUAAAAUUGAUACAGGAAAUGCAACUGAUGACUGAUAUGACUUAAGAAAUGGUCCAUCCCAACAUAUGGUUGUUCUAUAAUUGGAUCCUACGCGAGUGCUUCUUUCUUUUUCUAAUUGACAGUCACCGGCCAGUUUCCAGAAAGCAACUUAAUCACAUGAUUCAUUCACAUUUUUUGUCUUUCAACUUGCGAUAGUGAAGAACACGUUGGGGCAGCAUACGGCUAUGUAUGGGGCAGCACACUGAUUAAUGGUCGGUGGACCAGCUCCAAACACCAAACACGUUGGUUGUGGUCCAUAAUUUCCAUUUUCAACUUUCGGAUUGCCUUCUGAUCUUUCGUACUACUCGAUGUUACUGGUGGGUCAAGCAUUCAGCACGCAGAGCUAUCAUCGGGCCGGUCCAUCCCAUUUUCUAUGCGCCAAUACCUGAAGAAGAGAAAACAUCACCUUUGUCUAAUUACACCCGUUUUAUAAAUUAGUGUACAGUUCUUCCAAUACAUGAAUGCCUGUCGAGUGAAAAUGGGAGGUCCAUUUAGGUGUUCACUCAACCAAAUCCAUUGAUGGUGCGUUUACUUGUCGGAUUAGAGAAUUGAAAUUCAGAAUCGGAAUGAUUGAUAGUGUUUAUUUCGCAAAUAUGGAGCAUGAAUCGGAAUCAGAAUGGGAAUGGUGAGGCCCACCACUAUUUGCGAAUGAGGAAUGGGAGAUUGAUUCCCAUGGGGGAGGUGGAAAUGAGUCUCUGAUUCCCAUGGGAGAGGUGGGAAUCAGUCUCCCAUUCUCGGGAUUGACCAUUUUGCCCUCCCCCA
rnacentral:lncRNA from 1 species